rnacentral:lncRNA from 1 species
GAUUGCUGGAUUGAACGGUAGCUCUAUUUUCUUUGAGAAAUCUCCAAACUGCUUUCCACAGUGGCUGAACUAAUUUACAUUCCCACCAACAUUGUACAAACAUUCCUUUUCCUCUGCAGCCUUGCUGGAAUCUCUUGUGUUUUUUUUUUUUUGUUAACGUGGUCAUUUGAUUUUUGCUUGUUGAAUUGUUUAAGUUUCUUAUAAAUUCUGGAUACUACAACUUUGUCAGAUGCACAGUUUGUGAAUAUUUUCUCUAAUUCUGUAGAUUGUUUUCCUUUGUGUUUAAUUGAUUUUUGGUUUCCCUUCUCAUUUCCUUUGUGUACAUUCUAUAGAUAUUUUCUUUGUGGUUACCACGGGUAUUACAUAUAAUAUUUUAGGCUUAUAAUAACCUGUUUUAAUCAGAUAGUCACUUAAAUUCAAUCACAUACAAAAAGUUUACUCGUUCACAACUUUGCCCUCC